ACCAUCAGUUAUCAAACAUUAGUCAGAGAGUCACAGGAAGCACAAUGGAUGUGGAUGAAAUGAUCUACACGUUUUUCGAGGUGCUCAUUGCUGUUAGCUGCUGUCUUGGUAAUAUGUUGGUGAUUUUGGCGCUGUGGACCAGUAAAAGCAUUCAGGAGCCCACCUUCAGUCUUAUCGUCAGUCUGGCUGUGGCUGACUUUCUGGUCGGCUGCGUUGCCAUACCGAUGGCUGUGGUGGUGGUCGGACGAGUGCCCACUUCAUUUCAUGGCUGUGUCUUCAUCAGCUGUGUGGUCAUCCUGUUGACUCUGGUCUCAGUUUUGUCCCUCAUGGCUAUUUCUGUGGACCGCUUCCUCCGGGUGCAUAUCCCUCUCUGGUACAAAAGGACUGUGACGCAGAGACAUUCUUGCCUUGUGGUCGCAGCAUGUUGGCUUGUUGCAAUACCACUGAGUUUUGCUCCAAUGCUUGGAUGGUACAACCAUGGCACCCUGUCUAAGUCAGUAAACUCUACCAUUAUCUGCAAGUUUAUUGCUGUCAUGCCCAUGUCAUACCUGGUUUACUUCAACUUUGUUCUCUGCACCCUGAUACCUCUGUUGGUGAUGACCACUCUUUACGGCUACAUCUUCUGCACCAUCCGAGGAAACCUUCGAAAUAAACCAGGCAACGGGGCCCAGAAACAGUGUCAGAAGUAUCUGAAGAAAGAGAAACAGCUGGCAGGAUCUCUGUCCCUGGUCUUGGCUCUGUUUGCCUUGUCCUGGCUCCCUAUCCACAUUAUAAACUGCAUUACUUACUUCCGUGGGAAGAACGAUAUACCAGUUGUAUAUAUCUAUGUUGGCAUCCUGCUUUCUCAUGCUAACUCGGCUGUAAACCCAGUUGUGUAUGCGUUCAAAAUAGAAAAGAUCAAGACAGCGUACCUAAAGCUCUGGAGACAGUAUAUCUCAUGUGGAGAAAUAAAUCAAGGAUCUCAGACAAGCCAGACAACAGACAAUACUCCCAGUAGUAACAGUGAUGCCAAUAAUGAGUAAAGGAAAAUUUCCUUGUUUGUCUUCGCUUCUUUCGUUAGUAUUUGGGAUAAUGGCAUAAGAUGAUAGCAUAAGAUGUAUUGAUACGGUAAACACAUCUAGCCUCAGAAAGAUAUGUUAUGUUCAGGAUUGUGUGUGUGUGAGUGGGAGUGUAGCGAAAACAGUCUUGCAGAGAAGAAGGGCAACUUCCACUUGUCUAAGAGCUUUAUUUUAGUUUCACAUCAGUGUUAUUUUUCUGUUUCCAUCAAGUUUCAGUUCUUCAUGUGUAUUUCAACAGAAAGCGCUGUUUGAUGGUAAAAACCUUCACAAUCUUCGAAAGAGAAUACAACUUUAAAAACCAGGAAGAAGAAAAAACACCAGACACAUUUCAAAAGAUUCAGUGUAACAGAACAAUACCACAAAAGGAACUAAUCUCUGACACAAACCUUUCACAUGUCAGGAAGGAGAAAUGUAUUGUAAAGCUGUUGUAUUGGAUUUUAUUAUGUAACAUAUAUGUUCACAUUUUUCUGUUCAAUGGGUUCUAUAUAUAGAUAUAUAUAUAUAUAUUUUUUUCCUACUGGUUCACAACCAAACCCACGUUCUUGGAGAAAUUAAUUUAGGUCUGCUAAAUGUAAAAAUAAAUCAAGAUCAGUCAGUUAUUUAAAUGCUAUUAUCGGUAAUGAGUCACAACAAGAUAUAGUAUUUGUGUAGCCAGGAGAGAUUUUAAUGAAUAGACACCAAACCGUCAGCUUCUCACAAAUAAUGGCACUGACACCUGAUUUCAUUGGUACAUCAAUUUAAUUCAAAGAUGAAUAAACGUUUUCUUCCGUGAGCAGUAUUUAUUUUAUUAGCCUGUCAUUUGUUUUGUGAUUUAUGUUUGUCUUACUUUGUUAUUUCUGAAAUUCAUCUGAAGUAGGAGUUGUUAUUAGAUCUGAAAUCAAAUGUUUGUUUUUUUAAGUUCCUUAUUUCCUCAUCAAGAAAUCCAAUGUAUAUACAGCUACAUUAUUCUGUACCUACAGCAGCUUUUGUAAUUAGUACAAAGUCAAUUACAAUUGUCUGUAAUGUUCAUGAAUAAAGUCUAUUAGUGAGCAUUUACUUUUCUGUCUUCUGUAAAUUGGUUUUGCAUAUUUACGAGCCACAAUUUUUAGCUAGUGUACUUUUACAUUUUUAAAGUCCAGAGGUUCUCAAACUUUUCAGGGCUCACUACAAGUUGUACUCUUACUAUGCCAUUGAAAGUAGUUUUAUCCUAAAACUUAUUGAUGUAAUAUGUACAAUUGUGUCAGAGUUUCUAUUGGCCCAAAAUAUAAUACCAAUAGAAUUUAUACCAAACUAUUUUACAAACCCCCAGGUUCCACUGAACACUUUUUGAGAAUCACUCCUUUAGUCUACAUUAAACAGGGGCACUUUCAAAUCAGGUUUUCAACUUGUAAUACAGCAUGCAAAUUAAAAAAAACACUUCCUU